GAUGAACGCUGGCGGCGUGCCUAAUACAUGCAAGUCGAGCGAACGGACGCGAAGCUUGCUUCUCUGAUGUUAGCGGCGGACGGGUGAGUAACACGUGGAUAACCUACCUAUAAGACUGGGAUAACUUCGGGAAACCGGCGCUAAUACCGGAUAAUCUUUUGCACCGCAUGGUUCAAAAGUGAAAGACGGUCUUGCUGUCACUUCUCGCUGGAUCCGCGCUGCAUUAGCUAGUUGGUAAGGUAACGGCCUACCAAGGCAACGAUGCAUAGCCGACCUGAGAGGGUGAUCGGCCACACGGGAACGGAGACACGGACAAGACUCCUAAGGGAGGCAGCAGUAGGGAAUCGGCCGCAAUGGGCGAAAGCAUGACGGAGCAACGGCGCGUGAGUGAUGAAGGUCUUCGGAUCGUAAAACUCUGUUAUUAGGGAAGAACAGAUGUGGAAGGAACUGUGCAGAGAGUGACGGUAACGAAUCAGAAAGCCACGGCUAACUACGUG
rnacentral:rRNA from 1 species